rnacentral:rRNA from 1 species
GGCCCCCUGCUACUGUUUUUAAGUAUAGGGGGUCGAACCUGCCCAAUGAUGAAAAUUCAAUGGCCGCAGUACCCUGACUGUGCGAAGGUAGCGCAAUCAAUUGCCCACUAAUUAUGGGCCUGUAUCAAUGGUUGGACGAGGGCUGAGCUGUCUCAAAAGUAAAUUAUAUAGAAUUUAUUUUUUAGGUGAAGAAACCUAAUUGUUGUUGAGGGACGAGAAGACCCUAUUAAACUUAAGUAAAACCACGGGAUAUAAUAGGAAUCUUUUAAGUAUCUUGGUUUUGGGGUAAAUCUUUGAUUGGGGAAAUAGAGAAGCAAAUAAAACCUUCUUUUAAUUGUAUAUCAAUUAUACUUAUAAGUAUUGAUCCAGUACUAGUACUGAGCAAAAGAAAAAGUUACUAUAGGGAUAACAGCGUGAUCUCCUUGGAGAGUUCUAAUCGAGAAGGGGGAUUACGACCUCGAUGUUGGACUAAGGUAGACCUAGUGGUGUAGAGACUUCUGCAGGUUAGUCUGUU